GAGUUUGAUCCUGGUUCAGAUUGAACGCUGGCGGCAUGCCUUACACAUGCAAGUCGAACGGCAGCAUGAUCUAGCUUGCUAGAUUGAUGGCGAGUGGCGAACGGGUGAGUAAUACAUCGGAACGUGCCCUGUAGUGGGGGAUAACUAGUCGAAAGAUUAGCUAAUACCGCAUACGACCUGAGGGUGAAAGUGGGGGACCGCAAGGCCUCAUGCUAUAGGAGCGGCCGAUGUCUGAUUAGCUAGUUGGUGGGGUAAAGGCCCACCAAGGCGACGAUCAGUAGCUGGUCUGAGAGGACGAUCUGCCACACUGGGACUGAGACACGGCCCAGACUCCUGCGGGAGGCAGCAGUGGGGAAUUUUGGACAAUGGGCGAAAGCCUGAUCCAGCAAUGCCGCGUGUGUGAAGAAGGCCUUCGGGUUGUAAAGCACUUUUGUCCGGAAAGAAAUGGCUCUGGUUAAUACCUGGGGUCGAUGACGGUACCGGAAGAAUAAGGACCGGCUAACUACGUGCCAGCAGCCGCGGUAAUACGUAGGGUCCAAGCGUUAAUCGGAAUUACUGGGCGUAAAGCGUGCGCAGGCGGUUGUGCAAGACCGAUGUGAAAUCCCCGAGCUUAACUUGGGAAUUGCAUUGGUGACUGCACGGCUAGAGUGUGUCAGAGGGGGGUAGAAUUCCACGUGUAGCAGUGAAAUGCGUAGAGAUGUGGAGGAAUACCGAUGGCGAACGCAGCCCCCUGGGAUAACACUGACGCUCAUGCACGA
rnacentral:rRNA from 1 species